GAUAAAACUACCAAACUAUAACAUAACGGCAUUGAGGAUGUCAACAACUUAUUUAGAUUGUCAUCUGCAUAACAUAUCGAAGGAAGAAACGAUAUCAUGGAUGAGGUUGGGCGAUAAUCAAAUCCUUUCAAUAGGAGAUUUCAAGUUUAUUGAAGACCCCAGAAUAACAAUAAUAAAUCAACCAAAAUGAUGAAGGAUUUUAUGAGUGUCAAUUUACUACUGAAAUCGAUAAGAUUGG